CCUACGGGAGGCAGCAGUGGGGAAUUUUCCGCAAUGGGCGAAAGCCUGACGGAGCAAUACCGCGUGAGGGAAGACUGCCCAUGGGUUGUAAACCUCUUUUUUCAGGGAGGAAUAAAAUGACGUGUACCUGAAGAAUAAGCAUCGGCUAACUCCGUGCCAGCAGCCGCGGUAAGACGGAGGAUGCAAGUGUUAUCCGGAAUCACUGGGCGUAAAGCGUCUGUAGGUGGUUUAAUAAGUCAACUGUUAAAUCUUGAGGCUCAACUUCAAAAUCGCAGUCGAAACUAUUAGACUAGAGUAUAGUAGAGGUAAAGGGAAUUUCCAGUGGAGCGGUGAAAUGCGUAGAUAUUGGAAAGAACACCGAUGGCGAAAGUACUUUACUGGGCUAUUACUAACACUCAGAGACGAAAGCUAGGGUAGCAAAUGGGAUUAGAUACCCCAGUAGUCCUAGCCGUAAACUAUGGAUACUAGAUGUUGAACAGAUCGACCUGUGCAGUAUCAAAGCUAACGCGUUAAGUAUCCCGCCUGGGAAGUAUGCUCGCAAGAGUGAAACUCAAAGGAAUUGACGGA
rnacentral:rRNA from 1 species